AUUCUUACUCACAUUCAUAUGUAAUUAUUAAAUUUUUAGGUGAACUUCAGCAACUUUGAAGCCGUCCUGUCAUUUGUGCUGGUGAACAAUAACCACUGGAAAUUGCUGUACCUACACGCAGAAACCAGCAUGGUGUACCUUGUGGAUCCAGCCCAAAACACAUCUGAGCAGAAGGACUCACAAGUCACUGCUAAACGAAUCCGGGAGUACUUCACAAUGAGGAGGACUUGUUAUGGGAAGUCGGAUUGGGUGGAUAUAAAAUGGAAAGGCGGGGUUAUGUCCCAUUCAUUCCAACAAGAUGGAAGCAACUGUGGAGUGCUGGUUGUG